rnacentral:rRNA from 1 species
UCACAUUGAACGCUGGCGGCAGGCCUAACACAUGCAAGUCGAGCGGUAACAGAUCUAGCUUGCUAGAUGCUGACGAGCGGCGGACGGGUGAGUAACGCGUAGGAAUUUGCCUAGUAGUGGGGGAUAGCCCAGAGAAAUUUGGAUUAAUACCGCAUACACUCUACGGAGAAAAGCAGGGGAUCUUCGGACCUUGCGCUAUUAGAUAAGCCUGCGUGGGAUUAGCUGGUAGGUAAAGGCUCACCAAGCGACGAUCUCUAGCUGGUCUGAGAGGAUGAUCAGCCACACUGGAACUGAGACACGGUCCAGACUCCUACGGGAGGCAGCAGUGGGGAAUAUUGCACAAUGGGCGCAAGCCUGAUGCAGCCAUGCCGCGUGUGUGAAGAAGGCUUUCGGGUUGUAAAGCACUUUCAGUUGGGAGGAAAAGUUAUAGUUUAAUAAACUAUAGCCCUGACGUUACCAACAACAGAAGAAGCACCUAACUCCGUGCCAGCAGCCGCGGUAAUACGGAGGGUGCAAGCGUUAAUCGGAAUUACUGGGCGUAAAGCGCGCGCAGGUGGUUUGUUAAGCGAGAUGUGAAAGCCCCGGGCUCAACCUGGGAACUGCAUUUCGAACUGACAAACUAGGGUUUUGUAGAGGGUGGUAGAAUUUCAGGUGUAGCGGUGAAAUGCGUAGAGAUCUGAAGGUAUACCAGUGGCGAAGGCGGCCACCUGGACAAUAACUGACGCUCAUGUACGAAAGCGUGGGGAGCAAACGGGAUUAGAUACCCCGGUAGUCCACGCCGUAAACGAUGUCUACUAGCAGCUCGGGUCCUCGGACUUGUUUUGCAAAGCUAACGCAUUAAGUAGACCGCCUGGGGAGGACGGCCGCAAGUUUAAAACUCAAAUGAAUUGACGGGGGCCCGCACAAGCGGUGGAGCAUGUGGUUUAAUUCGAUGCAACGCGAAGAACAUUACCUACACUUGACAUCCAGAGAGCUUACUAGAGAUAGUUUGGUGCCUUCGGGAACUCUGUGACAGGUGCUGCAUGGCUGUCGUCAGCUCGUGUUGUGAAAUGUUGGGUUAAGUCCCGUAACGAGCGCAACCCUUAUCCUUAUUUGCCAGCACGUAAUGGUGGGAACUCUAAGGAGACUGCCGGUGAUAAACCGGAGGAAGGUGGGGACGACGUCAAGUCAUCAUGGCCCUUACGAGUAGGGCUACACACGUGCUACAAUGGCGCAUACAAAGGGCUGCGAACUUGCGAAAGUAAGCGAAUCCCAUAAAGUGCGUCGUAGUCCGGAUUGGGGUCUGCAACUCGACCCCAUGCAGUCGGAAUCGCUAGUAAUCGUAGAUAAGAAUGCCACGGUGAAUACGUUCCAGGGCCUUGUACACACCGCCCGUCACACCAUGGGAGUGGGUUGCACCAGAAGUAGCUAGACUAACCUUCGGGAGGUCGGUUACCACGGUGUGAUUCAUGACUGGGGUGAAGUCGGAACAAGGUAGCCCUACGGGCAAUC